rnacentral:pre_miRNA from 1 species
UUUUUAGUAAAAGUAUGUUCCAUGCAAUAUUUGGGAUAUACUUACACUAAAA